rnacentral:rRNA from 1 species
UACGGGGGGAGCAAGCGUUGUUCGGAUUUACUGGGCGUAAAGGGCGCGUAGGCGGCGCAACAAGUCACUUGUGAAAUCUCCGGGCUUAACCCGGAGCGGUCAAGUGAUACUGUCGUGCUAGAGUGCGGAAGGGGCUACUGGAAUUCUCGGUGUAGCGGUGAAAUGCGUAGAGAUCGGAAGGAACACCAGUGGCGAAGGCGGCUAUCUGGACUGACACUGACACUGAGGCGCGAAAAGCGUGGGGGAGCGAACAGG